rfam:Rattus norvegicus mRNA for connective tissue growth factor, complete cds.
AUGGAGACAUGGCGUAAAGCCAGGGAGUAAGGGACACGAACUCAUUUAGACUAUAACUUGAACUGAGUUACAUCUCAUUUU